rnacentral:rRNA from 1 species
GACGAACGCUGGCGGCGUGCUUAACACAUGCAAGUCGAGCGGAGCGGCGAACGGGUGAGUAACGCGUGAGUAACCGCCCCCCUCUCUGGGAUAACCGUUGGAAACGGCUGGCAAUACCGGAAAGUGUGGGAUGACUCGCGCCCAAUCAGCUUGUUGGUGGGGUAGUGGCCUCCCAAGGUGAAGACGGGUAGCCGGCCUGAGAGGGCGACCGGCCACAUGGGGCUGAGAUACGGCCCAAACGCCUACGGGAGGCAGCAGUGGGGAAUAUUGCACAAUGGGGGAAACCCUGAUGCAGCAACGCCGCGUGCGGGAUGACGGCCUUCGGGUUGUAAACCGCUUUCAGCCAUGACGCGGUAGUGGCAGAAGAAGCACCGGCUAACUACGUGCCAGCAGCCGCGGUAAUAC